GACAACGCUGGCGGCGUGCUUAACACAUGCAAGUCGAACGGUGACGAGGAGCUUGCUCCUCCGAUCAGUGGCGAACGGGUGAGUAACACGUGAGCAACCUGCCCCUCACUCUGGGAUAACAGUUGGAAACAGCUGCUAAUACCGGAUACGACACAGACAGGCAUCUGUACUGUGUGGAAAGUUUUUCGGUGAGGGAUGGGCUCGCGGCCUAUCAGUUUGUUGGUGGGGUAAUGGCCUACCAAGACGACGACGGGUAGCCGGCCUGAGAGGGCGACCGGCCACACUGGGACUGAGACACGGCCCAGACUCCUACGGGAGGCAGCAGUGGGGAAUAUUGCACAAUGGGCGAAAGCCUGAUGCAGCGACGCCGCGUGAGGGAUGACGGCCUUCGGGUUGUAAACCUCUUUCAGCAGGGAAGAAGCGAAAGUGACGGUACCUGCAGAAGAAGCACCGGCUAACUACGUG
rnacentral:rRNA from 1 species